AGCGCUCGGCCCCACCCACAGGAAGGAGCAGGACCAAGGCCGCCCCCAAGGUCCACUGGAUGGAUAGGUGUCUGGACGGACAGAGGGCCAGCGCAGGGCCGUAGUUGGCCGCGUCCCCAGGCCACUGUGCUGGGUCCCAGGAGUGGGCAGUACCAUUGGUAGAAGAGCCAGGGCUUAACACAGCGUCACAGUUCCCCGCUCCUUGCUCCGUUGUCUGGCUCCGCCUUCGUCCUGGGAUUGCCCAGCUACCGCCUCCCCCCAGCCCCACACACACACUGGGAGUUCUGGGAAGUUAGCUGCUGGCUCAGGCCUAAAAGAAGGAGCAGGCGGAUGGCGUGGGCCAGCUUGAGGGGAUGGCAGGGGCAAAGGUCAGAAACGGAGCUACCCUGUGGCCCUGAGGCCAUCCUUAUCUGCUCCAGGAAGGAUGUCCCACCUGCUGCCUUUGUUCUUCAAGCCAGAGCCUAUUUGAAAACUGGGAAAUGAAUUUAGUAAUUUGACCUGUAAUUGAUCUGGCUUUGCUAAGAAGGCAUUAGAAGAAAUGACGGCGACAUGAGACCAGAUGCAGGGAACACUAAAAAUCAAACGAAGCUACAAGUUAAAGGGCAAGGCAAUUGCACUACAGAAAAAAAUAAAUGUGGGAUUUAGCUAACACAUUAGUAAGACCAUAGACCCAGAAUGUCAGCAAAGUCUCAGCUUACCUGAAAACAUAAAGUUUCAACUCACCUGGGAUGGGGUUUGCAGGACAGAAAGCCUGCACCCCACCUGUGUUGAGGCAGAGAGCUCGGGUGUCUGUGGAGCUAGCAGCCAGGAGACAGUGUUGCUGGGGCUGGCAGAGUGCAGUCCCUGUGGCAGGUGCUCCCCACCCAUCCAGGCGGGCCCCUGUCUGUGUGCAGGCUCAGGAAACAGGCUGCAGCGUGGAUUCCUUGGCAGGUUUCCCACAGCAGGACAAUAGCACCAUGUGCACACCCCUGGGCCUCACCCUCUCAACUGGUCCAGUUCUCAGCAUCCAUCAAGAUUUGUCAUUCUGAACUGUGUGCCUCUGAAGCCUAGAAAGAUGGAAUUUCUACAUUCAAUUGAGAAAAGACUCUCUAAAUAGGCCAGCAGUGAUUGGAGUAAGAAUUCUGAAAGACACAGAACAGACAGGGGCACGUGGGCAAUCAUCCCUUUGGUCACCCCUUUACUGAGAACUCAGUUGUUGGGAUCCCGCCACUCCCUAGGCCCUAUGCACAGAAGAUCCUUCUAGGGGUCUGUGGCUUGGCCAGCAAGACUCGCGUCAGCGGGAACUGCAGGGAGGGACUGUGACAGCGCGGCUCAUCACGGUGCUUCUGUGCCCUGAGACGGCACUGAGGCUGGGGCAGGAGACGGAGGCCAUGCUGCCCAGGGCCAGGACUCCGAGGAGCUGGAAGCCAGGCCCCGAGCACAGCUGGCCCUGCAGAAGGAGGAGCAGGUGCUGCAGGAGGAGGGCGGACUGGACUUGCAGGUCUCAGAAGCACCCACGGGGCCGGGAGGUCACGGCAGUGGGUGAAGUGGGUCUGUGAGAGGCGGCAGGGAGCAGUGGGGACUAGGGACGCUGGGAAGUGGUCUGAGAAGGGGUUGUGUCCUGUUGUUAGCGCAGAGAAACUCAACCCAGUGCUGUGGAAUAUCUGAAGUUCAUGUGCUCCCUGCUGACUGCAACUGUUGAAAUGAAAUAAAAAAAAUAUAUAUAUAUAGAACUAGCGGAUGGUAAAUAUCAAUUGCUUUUUGCUUCUGUACUUUUGCUGCUUGCUCAAUGACUUAAUGCGGGAUGUCCAGCGUAAUAAAGUGUGGGGGGAUAAUUGUACCUCCAUGACAGGCUUCACAAACUCCAGGAAGACAGACAGGCCCAAUUCUUAGAAAAUGUAACUUAAUAAAUACUUCCUGAAAUUAAUGGUCUCCUACUUCCUUGUGUGACCACUUCCUUCUGAGACGCGGACUGCGGCGAUGCACCAAUAAAAUGCUCAAAUUCAGGUAACUGACAUAUAAAAAAUAAGGAACUAGCAUACGUGCGUAAUGACGAAUAUACUUGUUUACUCAAGUGUAUGAA